rnacentral:piRNA from 1 species
UGGCUGUAAACACAAAGCCUGCC